AGGUUAAUGUGACAGUUGACUACAUCAGACAAGCUACCCCAUCUACGAACGUGACCCCGGCAUUCCCUGAACGGACCUGUUGCACGGUUACGAUUGGUGGAAUUAACAUUGCAGAAGCCCUGGUGAGUAAAGGUCUUGCAACAGUGAUCCGCUAUCGGCAAGAUGAUGAUCAGAGGUCUUCUCAUUACGAUGAGCUGCUUGCUGCAGAGGCCCGAGCUAUCAAGAAUGCUAAGGGACUGCACAGUAAAAAGGAGGUGCCAAUCCAUCGUGUGGCUGAUAUCUCUGGGG